rnacentral:rRNA from 1 species
UGGGGAAUUUUGGACAAUGGGCGAAAGCCUGAUCCAGCAAUGCCGCGUGUGUGAAGAAGGCCUUCGGGUUGUAAAGCACUUUUGUCCGGAAAGAAAUCCUUGGCUCUAAUACAGUCGGGGGAUGACGGUACCGGAAGAAUAAGCACCGGCUAACUACGUGCCAGCAGCCGCGGUAAUACGUAGGGUGCAAGCGUUAAUCGGAAUUACUGGGCGUAAAGCGUGCGCAGGCGGUUUGCUAAGACCGAUGUGAAAUCCCCGGGCUCAACCUGGGAACUGCAUUGGUGACUGGCAGGCUAGAGUAUGGCAGAGGGGGGUAGAAUUCCACGUGCAGCAGUGAAAUGCGUAGAGAUGUGGAGGAAUACCGAUGGCGAAGGCAGCCCCCUGGGCCAAUACUGACGCUCAUGCACGAAAGCGUGGGGAGCAAACAGGAUUAGAUACCCUGGUAGUCCACGCCCUAAAACGAUGUCAACUAGUUGUUGGGGAUUCAUUUCCUUAGUAACGUAGCUAACGCGUGAAGUUGACCGCCUGGGGAGUACGGUCGCAAGAUUAAAACUCAAAGGAAUUGACGGGGUCAUAGCUGUUUCCU